GUGGGGAAUAUUGGACAAUGGGGGGAACCCUGAUCCAGCCAUGCCGCGUGUGUGAAGAAGGCCUUUUGGUUGUAAAGCACUUUAAGCGAGGAGGAGGCUACCGAGAUUAAUACUCUUGGAUAGUGGACGUUACUCGUAGAAUAAGCACCGGCUAACUCUGUGCCAGCAGCCGCGGUAAUACAGAGGGUGCAAGCGUUAAUCGGAUUUACUGGGCGUAAAGCGCGCGUAGGUGGCCAAUUAAGUCAAAUGUGAAAUCCCCGAGCUUAACUUGGGAAUUGCAUUCGAUACUGGGUGGCUAGAGUAUGGGAGAGGAUGGUAGAAUUCCAGGUGUAGCGGUGAAAUGCGUAGAGAUCUGGAGGAAUACCGAUGGCGAAGGCAGCCAUCUGGCCUAAUACUGACACUGAGGUGCGAAAGCAUGGGGAGCAAACAGGAUUAGAUACCCCUGUAGUCC
rnacentral:rRNA from 1 species